rnacentral:rRNA from 1 species
GGUUGAUCCUGCCGGACCCCACUGCUAUCGGGAUGGGACUAAGACAUGCUAGUUACGCGCCUUUCAGCUAUGUGGGAGGUGCAGCGUACAGCUCAGUAACACGUGGCUAACCUGCCCUUGGGACGAGAAUAACCCCGGGAAACUGGGGCUAAUUCACGAUAGGUGACGAACUCUGGAAUGAGUCGUUGCCUAAAAGGUGUCGGAUCAUGCUUUCGGCAUCGCCCAAGGAUGGGGCCGCGUCCGAUCAGGUUGUUGGUGAGGUAAUGGCUCACCAAGCCUUUUACCGGUGCGGG